rnacentral:rRNA from 1 species
GGGUUGUGAGGUUAAGCGACUAAGCGUACACGGUGGAUGCCCUGGCAGUCAGAGGCGAUGAAGGACGUGCUAAUCUGCGAAAAGCGACGGCGAGGUGAUAUGAACCUUUGACCCGUCGAUGUCCGAAUGGGGAAACCCAGUGCAAUUCGUUGCACUAUCGUUAACUGAAUACAUAGGUUAACGAGGCGAACCGGGGGAACUGAAACAUCUAAGUACCCCGAGGAAAAGAAAUCAACCGAGAUUCCCCCAGUAGCGGCGAGCGAACGGGGAGCAGCCCGGAGUCUGAAUCAGCUUGUGUGUUAGUGGAAGCGUCUGGAAAGUCGCACGGUACAGGGUGACAGUCCCGUACACGAAAAUGCACAGGUUGUGAACUCGAAGAGUAGGGCGGGACACGUGGUAUCCUGUCUGAAUAUGGGGGGACCAUCCUCCAAGGCUAAAUACUCCUGACUGACCGAUAGUGAACCAGUACCGUGAGGGAAAGGCGAAAAGAACCCCGGCGAGGGGAGUGAAAAAGAACCUGAAACCGUGUACGUACAAGCAGUGGGAGCACCUUCGUGGUGUGACUGCGUACCUUUUGUAUAAUGGGUCAGCGACUUAUAUUCUGUAGCAAGGUUAACCGUAUAGGGGAGCCGAAGGGAAACCGAGUCUUAACUGGGCGUUAAGUUGCAGGGUAUAGACCCGAAACCCGGUGAUCUAGCCAUGGGCAGGUUGAAGGUUGGGUAACACUAACUGGAGGACCGAACCGACUAAUGUUGAAAAAUUAGCGGAUGACCUGUGGCUGGGGGUGAAAGGCCAAUCAAACCGGGAGAUAGCUGGUUCUCCCCGAAAGCUAUUUAGGUAGCGCCUCGUGAAUUCAUCUUCGGGGGUAGAGCACUGUUUCGGCUAGGGGGCCAUCCCGGCUUACCAACCCGAUGCAAACUACGAAUACCGAAGAAUGUUAUCACGGGAGACACACGGCGGGUGCUAACGUCCGUCGUGAAGAGGGAAACAACCCAGACCGCCAGCUAAGGUCCCAAAGUCAUGGUUAAGUGGGAAACGAUGUGGGAAGGCACAGACAGCCAGGAUGUUGGCUUAGAAGCAGCCAUCAUUUAAAGAAAGCGUAAUAGCUCACUGGUCGAGUCGGCCUGCGCGGAAGAUGUAACGGGGCUAAACCAUGCACCGAAGCUGCGGCAGCGACACUAUGUGUUGUUGGGUAGGGGAGCGUUCUGUAAGCCGUCGAAGGUGUGCUGUGAGGCAUGCUGGAGGUAUCAGAAGUGCGAAUGCUGACAUAAGUAACGAUAAAGCGGGUGAAAAGCCCGCUCGCCGGAAGACCAAGGGUUCCUGUCCAACGUUAAUCGGGGCAGGGUGAGUCGACCCCUAAGGCGAGGCCGAAAGGCGUAGUCGAUGGGAAACAGGUUAAUAUUCCUGUACUUGGUGUUACUGCGAAGGGGGGACGGAGAAGGCUAUGUCAGCCGGGCGACGGUUGUCCCGGUUUAAGCGUGUAGGUGUGUGUUCCAGGCAAAUCCGGUUCACUUUAACACUGAGGCGUGAUGACGAGGCACUACGGUGCUGAAGUGAUAAAUGCCCUGCUUCCAGGAAAAGCCUCUAAGCAUCAGGUAACAUCAAAUCGUACCCCAAACCGACACAGGUGGUCAGGUAGAGAAUACCAAGGCGCUUGAGAGAACUCGGGUGAAGGAACUAGGCAAAAUGGUGCCGUAACUUCGGGAGAAGGCACGCUGAUAUGUAGGUGAAGUCCCUGCGGACGGAGCUGAAAUCAGUCGAAGAUACCAGCUGGCUGCAACUGUUUAUUAAAAACACAGCACUGUGCAAACACGAAAGUGGACGUAUACGGUGUGACGCCUGCCCGGUGCCGGAAGGUUAAUUGAUGGGGUUAGCGGCAACGCGAAGCUCUUGAUCGAAGCCCCGGUAAACGGCGGCCGUAACUAUAACGGUCCUAAGGUAGCGAAAUUCCUUGUCGGGUAAGUUCCGACCUGCACGAAUGGCGUAAUGAUGGCCAGGCUGUCUCCACCCGAGACUCAGUGAAAUUGAACUCGCUGUGAAGAUGCAGUGUACCCGCGGCAAGACGGAAAGACCCCGUGAACCUUUACUAUAGCUUGACACUGAACACUGGUCCUUGAUGUGUAGGAUAGGUGGGAGGCUUUGAAGCGUGGACGCCAGUCUGCGUGGAGCCGUCCUUGAAAUACCACCCUUUAAUGGCUGGUGUUCUAACGUGGACCCGUGAUCCGGGUUGCGGACAGUGUCUGGUGGGUAGUUUGACUGGGGCGGUCUCCUCCCAAAGAGUAACGGAGGAGCACGAAGGUUAGCUAAUCCUGGUCGGACAUCAGGAGGUUAGUGCAAUGGCAUAAGCUAGCUUGACUGCGAGAGUGACGGCUCGAGCAGGUGCGAAAGCAGGUCAUAGUGAUCCGGUGGUUCUGAAUGGAAGGGCCAUCGCUCAACGGAUAAAAGGUACUCCGGGGAUAACAGGCUGAUACCGCCCAAGAGUUCAUAUCGACGGCGGUGUUUGGCACCUCGAUGUCGGCUCAUCACAUCCUGGGGCUGAAGUAGGUCCCAAGGGUAUGGCUGUUCGCCAUUUAAAGUGGUACGCGAGCUGGGUUUAGAACGUCGUGAGACAGUUCGGUCCCUAUCUGCCGUGGGCGCUGGAGAAUUGAGGGGGGCUGCUCCUAGUACGAGAGGACCGGAGUGGACGCAUCACUGGUGUUCGGGUUGUCAUGCCAAUGGCACUGCCCGGUAGCUAAAUGCGGAAGAGAUAAGUGCUGAAAGCAUCUAAGCACGAAACUUGCCCCGAGAUGAGUUCUCCCUGAGACUUUAAGUCUCCUGAAGGAACGUUGAAGACGACGACGUUGAUAGGCCGGGUGUGUAAGCGCAGCGAUGCGUUGAGCUAACCGGUACUAAUGAACCGUGAGGCUUAACCUUACAACGCCGAAGGUGUUU